CUCCCUAUAGCGCCGAGCUCCAUCCAGUAGGCGGGGGACACCAACCGUGGAUGGAGGCGGGGGACCCACCAGUCCGCCGAGAUCGGACCGGGGCCGCAUGCGGCCCUUGGGGUGAAGCCGACGUCAUCUCCCUGAUCAAUACGACGCCGGCCGGGUGCCUCUCUAACGCAAUCCAGCCCGAACCCGACAGCUGACUUCGCAGGCGCGUACCGAGAGGAAAU
rnacentral:sRNA from 1 species